rnacentral:rRNA from 1 species
AGGAAUAGCCUUUAGAAAUGAAGAUUAAUGCCUCAUAGUAUUGUAGACUGGCAUCAGUUUAUAAUUAAAGAUUUAUCGGUAAAAGAUGGCUAUGCGUCCUAUUAGUUAGUUGGUAAGGUAACGGCUUACCAAGACAGCGAUAGGUAGGGGUCCUGAGAGGGAGAUCCCCCACACUGGUACUGAGACACGGACCAGACUCCUACGGGAGGCAGCAGUGAGGAAUAUUGGACAAUGGAGGAGACUCUGAUCCAGCCAUGCCGCGUGUAGGAAGAAUGCCCUAUGGGUUGUAAACUACUUUUAUACAGGAAGAAACACUGGUA